ensembl:lncRNA
CCAGCUGACAGAAACCACUCCUUCUGCCACACGUCCACAUCCUGCUGUUCAGGAUAUGUUGUAUGUUCGUGCUGGGAGCUCAGCUGUGCUUUAGACCUGUGUGUUUAAUUCUAUAUCAUAGCAUCGCUAAAAUGAUCUUCUCAGUAGUUAUUUUCAUACUUAUUUCUGUUGCGGCAUCAGAAGCUCUGGGAGACAGAGAAGAACAAGAUUUGGCAGCAAAUCCAGGGCUGGUUGCAGUGCUGUGUAUUUUCUGCAUUGUGGUGGCUGUAGUUGUUGUGGUUGUGAUAGUGAAGGCUGUUCGCUCCAGGAGACCUCAGUUUGAGAGGCUUGAUGAUGUACCUAUGGGCAAGGUAAAUGAGGAAGCACCGUUUGCCCGCUACCCUCCAAAAUAAAGGCCAGUUUCUUAUACUUGCUGUCUCAGUGAACGACGUAGCUAUGCCUCUGAUAUUUCGCUUUUUGGUUUUGAAAUGAAAUGUGCCUUUUUAACCUACAGACUUAAUGUGCAAUACAUAGUGUAUUAGUUGUGAAAUAUGAUAAUGUGCUUUUUUCCCCCUUAAAAUACCACAGCUAAUGACAAACUUGUAGUCAAAUGAAGAAAUCUAACUUCUUAUGUCCUAUAUUUUUGUAUUGUUUAUGCCAUAUUCUUCUCUUGUAAGCCCGUUUUGAUUAAACCUAUCUUUUGAAAAAAUCUGCUUAAUUAAUACAUAUAAUUGGAAUGUAAAUGUACAUAAUGACGACUGCACUGUCAAUAUUUGUGAGAGACUAUGUCGGGAGUGUGACAUUUUCAGCCUGUCCUCCAGAUGGCGCCAAAAUUGUUCACAAGCAGUUGUACUGUAUGUAUCUUUAACAUUAUUUGAGAACUGAGAGUUGUUUUUGCUCAAAAUAACAAAUAUCUUUGGCCUUGGACCACCUCAAAUGAACUUAAUACAAUUCGACAAAUGUAUUGUAAAUAAAUAAAAAAUUUUGCAUUAAAGCA